CCACGGUGUGGUUCAUGACUGGGGUGAAGUCGUAACAAGGUAGCCCUAGGGGAACCUGGGGCUGGAUCACCUCCUUA
rnacentral:rRNA from 1 species